UCGUCUCAUCGAGUAAAUACCCCGCUAGCUCCUCAAAACUCUUCAAAAGAAGCCUUCCUUGACUACUUACUUUUCUUUCUUCUCGGAUGGAAACCCUGAUGAGACAAUAGAAGAAAGCACUACUUCCAAGAAGUCUAGCAAGAAGUUCCUUGCCUUACUAAGCUUUCAGUAAAGUAAUCCCUUGUUACCGCUCCGUGGGGGAGUGAUUGAAGCGAUUGGGACAAGAGAGAGCAGAGUUAUUUUGCCUGCUAACUCUUAGCAAUACGGAUCUGUAAAAUUUCGCUUGCAUAGAUUAGGGAAGUCUGGUUUGCGAGCUUGCCUCUCUCUGCUUUUGCCUCUCUGCGCUUUGUAGGCUUUAGAGAACAAGUCCCUCUUGCGCCGGUAUUCGCUGCCAUCAAAUCAUAGUAAGUCGGCUAUCUCACUGUGAAAGGCAACUCCUAGCUCUAAGAACCUCUUAAGAGCAGAAAGCUAGAAUUCAAGUGAAGGGGGCUUCAAUAGCUUUGGCUGUGAAAACUCUUGGUCUUGGAGCAUCAGUGUCAUCAGUUCACCGGCAGGACAAAUAACUACUAGGUUUGUGCAAGAAAAUCUUCUUGCGUGACGGGAAAGAGAGCUGGUGUCAUUGGGGAAGCCUUCGUUUAAGUUGCGGGUUUGAUUUGUUCCUUGUGAGCGUUAGUGAGUGGGGAAUUGUAAGCUUUGAGCUUCAAUAGGUUAUACUUUUACAUUAGCUUAGCAAACAAAGGGCGACCAGAAAAAAGGCUUUCCUUCCUUUUUUCCCUUUGACAUAUAUCCCAAGUACUUCUAAAUAGAACUAGUGCCAAAGGUCAGUCAAUUACUUUAUAAAAGAGAUGCUAUUGCGCCUCCUGCGUUGCCAUCUUCACGAACGAGACUGAACCAUUUUACAUUGUCCGAGCCGGAGGAGAGUCAAGCUCUACCCGAAACAGAACCCAGGCGGUUAAGCGGCAUAGCGAGCUUCGGUCAUGCGGUUUUUUGUUCAUGUUCCCGUAUCCUCGGGCGAAAGUCCCCCGGUGGGUAGAAAUUCUCGGGAUCUUUCUUCUCCUGACUGGACCAUCCGAUCAGUGCACCUAUUUGAUUUGAAAAGGGUUGUUUUAUUUUAGGGCACCUAAGGCAGUCGGUUUUGCACAUGCCUACCUAUAUUAAAGUCAAAAGUACAUGCCACCACCAACCG
rnacentral:lncRNA from 1 species